rnacentral:misc_RNA from 1 species
UGGGUGCCUUGGGUGCCGGAGAGA